rnacentral:lncRNA from 1 species
GUGUACAGAAUAUCCCUAAGGAUAUAGACAACUUGGACCACAGUAUGAAUCAACUUGAACUAAUCGAUAUUCAUAAAACCCUUCACCCAGUAGCACAAGAGUGCAAUGAAGAUUUACCAGGAGAGACCGUAUCCUGACCAUUAAGCAAGUCUUAAUGAAUCUUAAAAGAUUCAAGUCAUACAAAUGAUGUGGAGUUCCCAUGGUGGCUCAGUGGUUAACGAAUCUGACUAGGAGCCAUGACGUUGUGGGUUCGAUCCCUGGCCUUGCUCAGUGGAUUAAGGAUCUGGCAUUGCCGUGAGCUGUGCUGUAGGUCACAGUUGCGGCUUGGAUCUGGCAUUGCUGUGGCUGUGGUGUAGGCCAGUGGCUAUAGCUCUGGUUAGACCCCUAGCCUGGGAACCUCCACAUGCCGGCAGGAGUGGCCCUAGAAAAGGCAAAAAGACAAAAAAAAAAAAAAAAAAAAAAAACCCUUAGUGAUGAAAGAAGAUAUCAAAAGGGAAAUUUAAAAGUAUUUUGUAUUGAAUGAAAAUAAAAACACAAAAUCUCAAAGUUUGCUGAGUGCAGCUAAAUUAGUAAACAGAGGAAAAUGUAUAGCACUUAAUGCUUAGAAAAGGUCUCAAAUCAGUUACCCCAGAGUACACCUUAUAAAAAGAAUAAAAGGAGAAAGUCCACAAUAAGCAGAAGAACAUAAUAAAGAGCAGCAAUCAAUAAAAAGAAAACCAGAAAAUAAUAGAGGAAAUAAAAGUAACCAAAAGAUGACUCUUUGAGAAGGUCGAUAAAAUAAAUCAAUCUUGGAGUUCCCUGUGACCUAGCAGUUAAGGAUUUGCUGUUGUCACUUCUGUGGCUCGAGUCUGAUCCCUGGCCCAGGAACUUGCACAUGCUGCAGGCAUGGCCAAAAAAAUUCUUUAAUGAAAUAAUAAUAAUAAAGGGGAUUAUAUGAAAUCAUGUAUGUGAAAUUUUUGAAAAUUGUAAAACACUAUAAAAUUUAAAGAAUCUUUUGGAUUUCCCGUCGUGGCUUAGCAGAAACAAAUCUGACUAGUAACCAUGAGGACACAGGUUCAACCCCUGGCCUCACGCAGUGGGUUAAGGAUCUGACAUUGCCACGAGCUGUGGUGUAGGUCGAAGAUGCAGCUCGGAUCCCAUGUUGCUGUGGCUGUGGUGUAGGCUGGCAGCUACAGCUCUGAUUCAACCCCUAGCCUGGGAAUCUCCAUAUGCCAUCCAUGUGGUCCUAAAAAGCAAACAAAAGAAAAGGGCCACCAGAGAGGAGAGUUAGCUGCUUCUCCUUGCCCCAUGAGGACUCAGUGAGAAGGGGGCUCUCUGCCAGCUGGGAAGGGCCCUUACCAGAAUCCAGCAGUGCAGGACACUGACCUCAGACUUCCAGCCUCCAGAACUCUGAGAAAUGAGAUGUGUGUAGCUGACAUCACUUGAUUGCUGUUGAGUCCCGCAGUGUAGAGGAUUUUUGUCAUGGUAGCCUAAGCUUAGACUAUGUGUUUUGGGCACAUAGCUGACUGUCAUUUGACCAUGUGUGGGGGGGACAUGCACCUGGGACUGGCCCAGGCCAUCACUGCAGCACUGGGUGGCCUGCCAGCCUGCUUUGCAAUGCCCCCCUCUCACCUGCUGAGGUCCUCAAGCAGGUUCUAUGAGGCGGCAGGGUCUCAGGGAUGUCCCAGGCAAGGCCCCAUUGUCUCCCUAUCUGUAACUUCUGCCUGAGCCUCUGGAGAGGAGGGUGGUCACUCAGAGACUACCCUAGCCUGGCUGUCCGGGCCCUGUUUGGCCUCCCGAGGCUGGACCUUGGGUCUAGGUGGCCAUGGCCCUGAUCUCCCAGCUCUGAAAAGUGUAUCCGAUGUUUCAGAGCCCUGUCAUCACGGCGCAUACCCCUGGCCUGGGGCAGAGUCUGGCCUGGUCCUCAGGAUCAGCCAGGAGACUGGGCUCAGGUGUCCUGUCCAAGGGGACAAGAGCCAGUCAGGGACCAAGGGUGGAGUGGGGGCUAAGCACAGCUGGAAGGGAGAGGGGUGAGUCAGGCCUUGAGUAAGGAAGAUGCUCGGAUAUUUAACCAUUAGGACAGCAAGCCCCGCCCCCCAAGUCAGUCCUGUCAUUAAACUGCCUGGUGGAGAAAGGUGGGGUGUGGUGAGUGGGGCAGCCCUGGCUCCACAGCAGCACCAGGCAGUUGCCAUACAGGAGGCAGUGCAGACUCUGUUCUCACUGGUGGCUGGUCACCCAUUAAGAGCAGGGAGGCCUCCUGGAAAGGUCUCAGGCCGGUGGAAGAGACUUUGAGUGUCCCAUUCACUUACUGCCCUCGGUUAAAACUGGAAGGGCCACGUCAAAAUGCCAGAGUGGGAGUUCCUGUUGUGGAUCAGCGGGUUGAGAACCCAACUAGUAGCCAUGAGGAUACUAGUGCGAUCCUUGGCCUCGCUCGGUAGGUUAAGGAUCCCGUGUGGCUGUGGCUGUGGUGUCAGCCGGCAGCUGCAGCUCCAAUUCC